rnacentral:rRNA from 1 species
UACAGAGGUCCCAAGCGUUGUUCGGAUUCACUGGGCGUAAAGGGUGCGUAGGUGGCCAGGUAAGUUCGGUGUGAAAGCUCGGAGCUUAACUCCGAAAUGGCAUUGAAUACUAUCUGGCUAGAGGGUCGGAGGGGAGACUGGAAUUCUCGGUGUAGCAGUGAAAUGCGUAGACAUCGAGAGGAACACCAGUGGCGAAGGCGAGUCUCUGGACGACACCUGACACUGAGGCACGAAAGCUAGGGGAGCAAACAGG